GUCUUUUUAGGGCCGCCCCUGCAGCAUGUGGAGGUUCCCAGGCUAGCGUCGACUCAGAACUGCAGCUACCUACCUUUGCCACAGCCACAGCCACUAGGGGUCCGAGCUGCGUCUGUGACCUACACCACAGCUCAUGGCAAUGCCAAAGCCUUAACCCACUGAGCAAGGCCACGGAUCGAACCCGAAUCCUUGUGGGUACUAGUCGGGUGCGUCAACCACUGAGCCACGAUGGGAACCUCCACAAGAGGGAUUUACGAAAAAAACAUGUGCAAAGGGCCUGAGGGGAAAACAUACUUGUAUACCCGACUAUUGCAAAGACAAGGUGGAGGCCCCGCGGGGCACGAGCUGAGUGUGCUGGGGUGAAGGUGGCCGCGAUCAGGACAGAGUAGGCACAGGCAGCUGUACAGGUCCCAGUAAGGGACCUCAGAUAGAGAGGGAAACCUAGAGGACUUGGGAGAUGACUAUAAGUUAAUAAUUGCUCAAGAAAGCCAUCAGCACAAGGCAGGCUUGCUGGACUAGUGGAGGCACAAGAUUUGCCUCGGGUCAUUGGGUGGGGGAUGGGAUAAGGCCCACAUUCAGGUUCAGACCAAGGGCAAGGGUUUAAGGGCCAUCCUUCUGCUGAUUUGAAUACCGGAUACCACAGAGGAGCUGCUGCACCCAGGAAGGAAGAGGCGGGCUUUUCCCACCCUCACUGCCUUUGGAUGAUGAUAAAACUGUAGCCCGCCUGAUCCUGGGGGCAGAGCUUCCUUGCCUGCCAGCUUGCAUUUCUCCCAAGCAUCCUAUCUUAAUAAAUCUAUUUCUUUCUUUCUUUUUUUUUUUUCCCUGUCUUUUUGCCAUUUCUUGGGCCGCUCCCGUGGCAUAUGGAGGUUCCCAGGCUAGGGGUCUAAUCAGAGCUGUAGCUGCCGGCCUACACCAGAGCCACAGCAACGCGGGAUCCGAGCCACGUCUGCAACCUACAAUACAGCUCACGGCAACGCUGGAUCCUUAACCCACAGAGCAAGGGCAGGGAUCGAACCCCCAACCUCAUGGUUCCCAGUCGGAUUCGUUAACCACUGCGCCACAACGGGAACUCCAGUAAAUCUAUUUCUUGCCUAUCACUUUGUCUCUUGCUGAAUUCCUUCUGCACCAAGGCACGAAGAACCUGAACAAGUCAGUCCAGACACCGGGUGAGAGAUUCUAAUUUAAAGCUGUGGGUUCAAGUUCCCAUCUCGGUUCUGGCGGAGUUCAGGCCAAUAGUUCUGUCCGUUUCAGUUGGAAAAGACGGGUUUAGGGGGUGACGGAGACACAUCCUGGGAAGCCUACUGGCCAUGGCAAGGCCUCUGGCUUUUAUGGUGUGUGAGACGGAAACGGAAGAGUUUAGAGCUUCAGGGCGGGGGUGGGGUGGGGGGGGUUGUAACCCGGCAUUUCACUGAUCUCUGCCCAGGUACCUCAGAUAUGUGAACUGAAGCUUGGCACUUGGUACCAGCCUCUACAUAGAUUAAAUCGUGAAUCCCUGCAGCUCAGGAAUGUGGCACUCUGCUCUGGAAAAACUGCAAGAACAGGUCUUCAGAUAGCUAGAUUUUUUUGGCCUUUCCUAGGGCUGCACCCGCGGCAUAUGGAGGUUCCUAGGCUAGGGGUCCAAUCGGAGUGUUGCUGCCGGCCUACACCAGAGCCACAACAACACCAGAUCUGAGCUGCAUCUGCGACCUACACCACAGCUCACAGCAACACCGGAUCCUUAACCCACUGAGCAAGGCCAGGGAUUGAACCUGCCGCAACCUCAUGGUUCUUAGUCGGAUUUGUUAACCGCUGAGCCAUGACAGGAACUCCUAGAUAUUUUUAGAAGAUUUAUGAGCCCAACUCUUGCAUCUCCUCACAGCUAGAACAAAGCACUAAAAUCCUUCAUGGUGAGGUCUGCUCCUUGGGACUGGUAGGAACUGAGGCAGGUGCCUCAUACCCCUGAGAGAAAAGUUAUAUUCCUUAUGCUUCUUUUUGAAAUGAAUACUUUGAAACUGAACAGCUUAGAGUCCUUCCUUGUCCUGCUCCCUGACUUAGUUACACCCUAAAUACAGUCACCCAUAAGCUAAAGGUCAGACACCCUGAGCACAACUGCCUGUGGGUUAAAGAUGAUUAGCACAUGAUGUUUUUCAGGAACUUUCCUAGUUUGUUCUCAUCUCUGAUCCAUAUGCCCUUUUCUCAAGUACUGUUACUCUAGGCAAGAACCCAGACAACCCUCAGCAUGGUCAGGCCUAGAUCUCCCGACUCCAGCUUUGAUGACUGAGAUUCCUCCAGAGAAAAAAGAAUGCAUGUUUGUCCCAAUCCUGAUUCCUCUCUGAAAACCUGUUUUUCUCCUUUUUACUAUAAAACUCCUUGCAAUUCGUUCUUGGAGGGGUGGGCGGCACAGUCUUUAAGGCAUGCGCCUGCUGUAGCCCUCCGUUGCCUGGGAAAGCAAUAAAGCUAUUUUUUUUCUCCUUUACCCAAAACUCUGUCUCGGCAUUUCAAUUCGGCACCGGCAGACAGAGGCCGAAUUCCGGCCACAGACCAGCAACAAACUUCUGCAAAAUGUGUGUGGGGCUGCAUGCACCUGCCCUCCCCUUUAUCUCGCAAGUUGAUAUUAUUUCCCCUGCCUCUUUGGGGCGGUAUUUCACAGUCUUCUGCCAAGGCACCUCCAAGGAUGAGCUGGUGGUGAGCCCCUAGGCUGUGGAAACUCCGGAUACAGGCCCUACAGCUGAGGUGCAUAUCAAAGGAAGGAUUUCAGUGAGCCCAGACUUCUUUUGUUCCUGCUCCCUGCCCUUUGUGGCAAAAACUCCUUUAUACCUUAGCUCCCCUCUCGCCUCCUCCAGCAGUUUCUCAAGGCUACCUGAGAUGCUGUCUCCCAGGCUUAAGUCCUAAUUUUGCCCCAAAUGAAGCUUAACUCUCAGCUUUCAGGUUGUGCAUUUUUCAAAAUCGAUAGAUAACAACAACAGCAAAAAAAAUCCUUUUAGAUUAGAGUUUCUCAUCCUUGGCCCUACUGACAUUUGGGGCUGAAUAAAUUUUUUUUUUGGGGGGUGGCUGUUCUGUGGGUGGGUGUCUAGCAGCUUCCCAGGCCUCCAGCCACCAGACCCCAGCAGCAGCUCUCCUGUUCUGAUAACCAAAAACAGCCUCACAUACAUGGUCCAAUGUCCCUUAAGGGGCUUCCAGGUGAGAAUAACUACUUUAGAUCAACACCUGACUUUCAGAGAAAAGAAAUAAUCCCGUCCAGUAGUUUCUACAGCUCCUUGCACAUUUGGGGAGCAGAGUGUUUCCCCUUAAAUAUAGAUUCAGGGGCACAACUCCAGAUCUACAGAACCAACCUCUCCAGGGUAUAAGGCCCAGAAUCUGAAUAGAAAACUGCUCCCGGCUGUGCGCCCCAGAAAUCUAGCUCAAUCCUUCUCCACCCUUGUCUCUCCUGCUGCCCUUUGGCGUUGCUGCACCUGUCGUUUAGGGAUGGGCCUGGGGUUCCUCAAACUGGCCCAUCCCUUUGCUUGCAGGUUGAUUCUGAAAAGGGACACUCUGCAUCAGUCAUUCUCCUACUGAGGUAGAAGGUGUAGAAGCCACUGAGCAUCCUGAGAACAUCCUGAGAGGGGGGAGAACCAGAACCGGGAGUGGGGGGGAGGGGGGAAAUGGGGAGGGAGGGGGAAGAGUCAGGGAGGGGUCAGAUUCCAAUGCCCAGGGAGCUCCCAGGGAAGCUGCCGGAACAGUGCGCUGACUUGGCAAACUCCCCUCGUGGAACACAGAAGGUAGUUCCAAAAAGCAAGGACAAAGCCGUGUUCAAUUGCAGGCAGUUGCCGCUGCCUGCUAAAGCUCUCGUGUCUGAGGUCUGUCCCCUCUUGGUGCUGAAAGAGGACAUUAGCUAGGAUUAAAGAGGCAGUAAAGACACACAGAAGUAUCAACCACCAUUUCCUCCUCGGGGCCACCACAGCUGCAAGGGAAGGAGACUUCCGGGCAGCUGGUUUCUCCUCUCCGCUCAUAAUAAGCAGCAGCCUUGCAGUCAUUUAGUGCCAGGUCUGUGUCCCAUCAGAAAUGAUCCCAAUACCUUCUACAAAUACCUUGCAGAGCCCUCACCCCUGGUCUAGUCCAAGUCCCCUGUUAAAGAGUCGUGGCCAGCCACAGAGGCAUUGCUGACCGCUGCCCGGAGAGGCGCCCUUGAGAACUGCCACCAGCACGAAGGUCUCCUGCCUGUCGCUCUAAGGCCAGAGUCAGCAUGGCCUCUUGUGAGGUCUGGAUCCCCUGGGGGCCGCUCCCUGCCACCCCCGGGUGGUGUGGAUGUCACCGGGGACCUGCAGACAGGUGGACAGUCAUUCCGGGGCGUCUCGCAUCGCCCUGCGGAAGCCCACUUCUCUCAGAGAUGCCCGAGGGGAGCGGUCGAUUUCGAGGGGCGCGCACUCUGCCAAGGGACAGGCAAACAGUGCAGGGGAGGCACUAAAACCCUUUAACACUUGCCCUUUCUGUCCCAAGCAAAAUAAACACCAUGGUUUACAAUGGCUGAGACUGCAAUUUCCUGCCUUUCAGAGAAGGAUGCCCCUCGGAGGAAGAAAGAAGUCAAAGUUUCUAGAGAGAGGGCUGUGGCUGGGCCGGAUGGGAUGCUUGUCAGGAGUCCCUUGGUCAUAUACCCUAUGGCAAUCUGGGUUCGAGUCCCAGCUCCACCACUUGCCACUUGGCUAUGUGACCAGGGGGCGGUCCCGUCACCUCCCUGCACCUUCCUCUCAGUGUGAACCUCACCUGAAAGAAAGUGAAGGUUAAAUGGGGGUAAAUGCACACAAAGCCCCUUCGCAUAGUAAAUGCUCAGUUAAUUAGUCCUCAGCAGUCACUGGUCACGCACCCAUCGAACGUUUCCUCUCUUGGACGGAAAAGCAGGAAAUGCAUCUGGACAGCUGCUGUCAGGAGGGCUACGGUGGAAUCCGCGACUGGCCUCUGCCGACACAGACGGGGACGGUGGGGUGGGCACCUGCCCGGAUCCGCGCCUCUCGGCUGGAGGCCCUGCUGGACCUUUGUGUCUUUUCUGUGGGGCUCUUUUCUAACUUUCCGUGCCGCUCAGAACGGGCAGCUGGUUUCUCCUCUCCGCUCAUAAUAAGCAGCAGCCUUGCAGUCGUUCCCACAAGCUGGAGGCUGUUUCCAGGGCCAAAGGUGAGCUUGCAGUCACCUGGUCGCCAUGGAAACCGAAGCGUCGUCAGGCUCACUCCAGAGCGACUUGGCAGGGCCCGGAGUACGUGCCUCUCCAUUUCAAACUAAUCUCCUGCACACAUGUUCUCCUGGAGGAGCGUGACUGGGGAUCACAGGGACCAGGCCAUCACGCUGAUCGCUGAGGCUGGGGAAGGGUCUCGUGGAAGCAUCUGCAUGCUGGGCGGGGCUCUUAGAACCCCCAGACACCUCCAGCAUUCUCCUGAGAGACAGGCCUUCUCAAUAGCCACGAGGCCCUGCAGAGGGGCAGC
rnacentral:lncRNA from 1 species